rnacentral:rRNA from 1 species
UACGUAGGUGGCAAGCGUUGUCCGGAAUUACUGGGUGUAAAGGGCGUGUAGGCGGGGAUGCAAGUCAGAUGUGAAAGCCCAAGGCUCAACCUUGGGAUUGCAACUGAAACUGUAUUUCUUGAGUGCUGGAGAGGAAAGCGGAAUUCCUAGUGUAGCGGUGAAAUGCGUAGAGAUUAGGAGGAACACCAGUGGCGAAGGCGGCUUUCUGGACAGUAACUGACGCUGAGGCGCGAAAGCGUGGGGAGCAAACAGGAUUAGAUACCCUGGUAGUCCACGCCGUAAACGAUGGAUACUAGGUGUAGGAGGUAUCGACCCCUUCUGUGCCGGAGUUAACACAAUAAGUAUCCCACCUGGGGAGUACGAUCGCAAGAUUGAA